UACAGAGGGGGCAAGCGUUAUUCGGAAUUAUUGGGCGUAAAGGGCGCGUAGGCGGCCUGACAAGUGGAAGGUGAAAUCCCUCGGCUUAACCGAGGAACUGCCCUCCAAACUGUUUGGCUUGAGACCGGGAGAGGUGAGUGGAAUUCCCAGUGUAGCGGUGAAAUGCGCAGAUAUCAGGAGGAACACCGAUGGCGAAGGCAGGUCACUGGGCCGCAACUGACGCUGAGGAGCGAAAGCAUGGGGAGCGAACAGG
rnacentral:rRNA from 1 species